rnacentral:rRNA from 1 species
GACGAACGCUGGCGGCGUGCCUAAUACAUGCAAGUCGAGCGCGGGAAGCUUGCGGAAUCCUUCGGGAGGAAGUGAGCGGACCGAGCGGCGGACGGGUGAGUAACACGUGGGCAACCUGCCCGUAAGACGGGGAUAACCCCGGGAAACCGGGGCUAAUACCGGAUAGGUGACCUUUCUGCAUGGAGGGGUCAUGAAAGGCGGCGGAAGCCGUCGCUUACGGAGGGGCCCGCGGCGCAUUAGCUAGUUGGUGAGGGAAGGGCUCACCAAGGCGACGAUGCGUAGCCGGCCUGAGAGGGUGAACGGCCACACUGGGACUGAGACACGGCCCAGACUCCUACGGGAGGCAGCAGUAGGGAAUCUUCCGCAAUGGACGGAAGUCUGACGGAGCAACGCCGCGUGAGUGAGGAAGGCCUUCGGGUCGUAAAGCUCUGUUGUUCGUGAAGAAGGGGUUGGCCAGGAAAUGGGCCGACAUUGACGGUAGCGAACCAGAAAGCCCCGGCUAACUACGUGCCAGCAGCCGCGGUAACACGUAAGGGGCAAGCGUUGUCCGGAAUGAUUGGGCGUAAAGGGCGCGCAGGCGGCCUCUUAAGUCUGAUGUGAAAGCCCACGGCUCAACCGUGGAGGGACAUUGGAAACUGGGGGGCUUGAGUGCAGGAGAGGGGAGUGGAAUUCCACGUGUAGCGGUGAAAUGCGUAGAGAUGUGGAGGAACACCAGUGGCGAAGGCGGCUCUCUGGCCUGUGACUGACGCUGAGGCGCGAAAGCGUGGGGAGCGAACAGGAUUAGAUACCCCGGUAGUCCACGCCG